UGGGGAAUAUUGCACAAUGGGCGCAAGCCUGAUGCAGCGACGCCGCGUGAGGGAUGACGGCCUUCGGGUUGUAAACCUCUUUCAGCAGGGAAGAAGCGAAAGUGACGGUACCUGCAGAAGAAGCGCCGGCUAACUACGUGCCAGCAGCCGCGGUAAUACGUAGGGCGCAAGCGUUGUCCGGAAUUAUUGGGCGUAAAGAGCUCGUAGGCGGUUAGUCGCGUCUGCUGUGAAAACUCGAGGCUCAACCUCGGGCUUGCAGUGGGUACGGGCUGACUAGAGUGCGGUAGGGGUGACUGGAAUUCCUGGUGUAGCGGUGGAAUGCGCAGAUAUCAGGAGGAACACCGAUGGCGAAGGCAGGUCACUGGGCCGCAACUGACGCUGAGGAGCGAAAGCAUGGGGAGCGAACAGGAUUAGAUACCCUGGUAGUCCAUGCCGUAAACGUUGGGCACUAGGUGUGGGGUCCAUUCCACGGAUUCCGUGCCGCAGCAAACGCAUUAAGUGCCCCGCCUGGGGAGUACGGCCGCAAGGCUAAAACUCAAAGGAAUUGACGGGGUCAUAGCUGUUUCCU
rnacentral:rRNA from 1 species